AUUGAACGCUGGCGGCAGGCCUAACACAUGCAAGUCGAACGAGUGGCGGACGGGUGAGUAAUGUCUGGGAAACUGCCUGAUGGAGGGGGCUAACUACUGGAAACGGUAGCUAAUACCGCAUACCAUCAGAUGUGCCCAGAGGGGAUUAGCUUGUUGGUGGGGUAACGGGUCACAAAGGCCACGAUCCCUACCUGGGCUGAGAGGAGGACCGGCCACCCUGGAACUGAGACACGGACCAGACGCCUACGGGAGGAAGAAGUGGGGAAUAUUGCACAAGGGGCGCAAGCCUGAUGCAGCCAUGCCGCGUGUAUUAAGAAGGCCUUCGGGUUGUAAAGUACUUUCAGCGGGGAGGCGUUACCCGCAGAAGAAGCACCGGCUAACUCCGUGCCAGCAGCCGCGGUAAUAC
rnacentral:rRNA from 1 species